GUGCCACACACUAGAUUUGGGGCAUAUUUUGGUCUGUUAGAAGAAAGUGCCUCCCAAAAUUUUAAAGAAAGAAAAACUUAUAUAUGUACAAAAAUAAGGGUUAAUACGAUGAAGGGUUGGAAUAUGACUGUAAAGAUGAAAAUUAUAAAAGAUUUUAUAAAAGGAAUUGAUAAGAUAAGAAGUUGGUUGAAAAAAGAAAGAAGAGGAUUUAAAAGAAAGGGAGAGAAUGUGAUCAGGCAGGAGACUAGAACAAAGCCAUACACUAGAGAUUUAGGGUAUAUUUUGAUCUGUUAGAAGAAACUGUAUCCCAAAAUUUUAAAAAGAGAACAACUUAUAUAUAUAUAUACCAAAAAUAAGGGUAACUACUAUGAAGGGAUAGAAUAUCACUCUAAAAAUGAAAAAUAAAAAAUAUUUUUUUAAAAAAGGGAUUAAUAAGAUGUUGGUUGAAAAAGGGAAAAAGAAAAAUUAAAAAAAAAAAAGACAGUUAAAAAUUAACUUUGAAAGACUACAGAAUCAUGGUAAAAAAGCCAUGGAUUCUAUGUGCAGUAUUCCCCUAGCGCUGGAGUUCUGCCGUUCUCAUUGAUCGGUAAACUUGGUCUUGGCUGGCUGUUCUCGCUGAUCUCUGGGGGAGGGGCCUGUUGCCGUGGUUUCCAAAUGUCUCUGCCGGAGGCGGAAUUGCCCCGCCCUUGCCCCCUCCCGGCUAAGUAAUCUGCUUGGGUUUGCUCUCCGGGGCUUUUGUUCUCUGCGAGCUUUCCGUACAGCUUUGGAGGCGGAGAGUGAAAAUGGUGGCCUCCCAAACUCCGCCCUGGAGGAGCCGAGAACUCGGGGCCCCGCUUCUCAGUGAGCCCCAGAGAAAAGCAGUCAGUCACUCCCGUCUCCCCGGUCUCUGGCCGCACUCCGUGCUCACCCGGCCUGUGACCAAGCAUUUCUAUCUCUGGCACCCGACCCCGUGUGGAGUCUCCAGACCCAGCAGAUCCCUGCGGUGCGCUCCCGCGUUGCUUCUCCUGGGGGAAAAAGGCUUCCUUGUUCUCUGAAGAAAGUGAAGGAGGCUUCAGUGAACCCCUGGGACAUGACUGUCCAGGUGUAUUGUUGAUCUCUGCAGGUCAAGAAUUUACUUAUCUACUGGCUCCCAGUUUGUACCCUUAAACAAUGUAUCCCCAAUUCCUCCACCCCUCAGUCUCUGGUAACCAUCAUGCUGCACUC